UUGCGGCCAUACCAAGUUGAAACGCUGGUUCUUGUACGAUCACCGAAGUUAAGCAACGUCAAGCUUGGUCAGUAACGAGAUGGGUGACCGCUUGGAAACGCCGG